GACGAACGCUGGCGGCGUGCUUAACACAUGCAAGUCGAGCGGUAACGCCUUUCGGGGUUCUCGAGCGGCGCACGGGUCCGUAACUCGUUACUAACCUGCUCCAGACUUUGGCAUACCCCUCGGAAACGGGGGCUAAUACCCGAUCCGACACUGCUUCCCCUGUGCACUGUGUGGACAGUUUUUCGGUUUGGGAUGUGCUCGCGGCCUAUCAGCUGGUUGAUGUGGUUAUGUCCUACCAAGGCGACGCCGGGUAGCCAGCAUGAGAGGGCGACCGGCCACACGGGGACUGAGACACGGCACAGAGUACUACGGGAGGCAGCAGUAGGGAAUAUUGCACGAUGGGCGGAAGCCUGAUGCAGCGACGACGCGUGAGGGAUGACGGACUUCGGGUUGUAAACAUCUUGCAGCAGGGACGAAGCGUAAGUGACGGUACCUGCAGAAGAAGCGCCGGGCAACUACGGG
rnacentral:rRNA from 1 species